UGACUGUGAAAUAGAAUUUGGAAUUCAACUUAUGCUGAUAUGCCACCCAGAUAGGUGAAUUGACAUUUGGCGAUGCGAAAUGUGCUUAAAUGAGGAAAGAAAUUGAGGUUAGUGUAUUCAAUUUCGUAAAAUAUGCUGCAUAGGCUAUUUGUUCUUUAGUUAAUAUGUGCACCUGAGGCCCCAGCAAUAGGCUUGAAAAGGUGAAGGGAGAGAACAGAGUAGGAGCAGCAAGGGGCGGUCAGAGCCGAGAACUGGAAGGCAGUCUGGGCCAUGGAGAGGUUGACUGACAGUGAUCCCCUCAAGCGGUUCCAUGCUUGCUGGUUGCUUUACAGGAUUUUGGAGUGCCAUCAUGACAAGAUGGUGGCAGCUGUUGUGCAGAGGAUUCACCUGAGAGGUGUAGAGGGAGACAGCAAGGGUACGUCUUAUGAUUCCCGCCACAAUGCGUCAAGUAUCAGCAGGAUUUUCUUCAAUGAUCUCUGCCUCAUCCACAAAAGACGGAAUCGGAUAUACUGAAAUAAGCGCUGACAGAAGAGAGAUGACAGGAAAUGAGUGGAAGAUGGAGAAUGACAUGCAACAAAGGUCAACAAAGGCUCAAGGUCAGUGCCUUAAAACUCCUAGACCACCAGGGGGUCAAACCUUACUCAUGCAAAAGAUGUUGUAGAACAUAGGCGAAUAUUCUACCAGCUACCAGGAAGGGAAUAACCACCUCACUUACUGCACACUGGUUUCCUGAGGUCAUCUGACUGUUUGUUAAUGACUUCAUGGAGCUAUGAAUGGUGAGGGAGUCAGCCGGGGGUGGAGUGCAAAAAUCAAUGCUGAUAAAAGAAAAUGGCUCCCUCUCAGCAGAGUAGACUGAACAAGACGAGGAGGAAAAUAUGCGAGAGCACUGUGCAACAGGGAAUAUCCAUUUUCUCACCCAAAUGUGAUCUGCUUUUGUUGAAAUGAAAUCAGUGUGAUCGCUCUAUUUCUCAACAUAAAUGAAUGAUUUCUUACCAUGUUGGAGCACAGAGAAUUCUACAGCAUCAGUCUGUCACUACUCUGUGUUUUCUAUCUCUAAAGUGAUAAAAACGCAACUCUGCUCUGAAUUUCCCUGCCUUUUAUCAGGAGAAGCGAUGUGGACAAAGUUCCCCUGAGGGCCGUGAAUACAGAGACUGAAGAUAGGAGACUACUCACCAUCAUUCUUUGGAGAAUACAGCCCCACUCACACAGGAAUAAUAUUAACUGGGGGCCUGUGAUUUUUAAUAAUUGCAGAGGUCAUCUGUUUUCUCAGUCCUAUGUGAAUCUGUCAUGUCAUGUGACCUAUAAAGUAAA